rnacentral:rRNA from 1 species
CAGAGGGCGCGAGCGUUGUCCGGAAUCACUGGGCGUAAAGGGCGCGUAGGUGGCCACCAUAAGGCCGCGGUGAAAGUCUGGGGCUCAACCCCGGAUCGGCCGCGGCGACUGUGGGGCUGGGGGUACCGUAGAGGCAGGUGGAAUUCCGGGUGUAGCGGUGGAAUGCGUAGAGAUCCGGAAGAACACCAGUGGCGAAGGCGGCCUGCUGGGCGGUGGGACCGAAAGGUCUCCUUGACCGACACUGAGGCGCGACAGCGUGGGGAGCAAACAGGAUUAGAUACCCUGGUAGUCCACGCCGUAAACGAUGGGCACUAGGUGCUCCGGGGAGCGACCCUUGGAGUACCGGCGCUAACGCAUGAAGUGCCCCGCCUGGGGAGUACGGCCGCAAGGCUG